AGUGUGUGGACUCUUUUGCCCUUCAAUUUUUUCCUUUAUUGUCUCUUCUGUUGCCUCUUUUGUACAAUGACUUGACUUAAUUGUCCUUCAUUGAAUCUCUGUUUUUCCCUUAUGUUUUGCUGUUUGUUGUUAGCAGUGAAAUGUCUAUCUUGCACUUGGGUUUCCUUUUGUUUUUCGUUGUUCUCUGUUUCUAGGCACAAUGGAAGGACGAGAUUAUCCCAUCCACGUGUUGAUCAUCGUCAAUUGGUUCUUUUGGUUUCUCUUGUUCAUCUUUUAUUUUCGUCUUUUAUUCUCUUUUGGUCUUCUCUAUCCCUCUCAAAUCUUUUAUUCUUUCACUCUUCGUUUUUUGCUUUCAUUGUUGAUGAAUUUGUGUUUUGUCGAUGUCCGUCGUCGUCUCAUGUUGUUUUGAAAAUUUAGCUUGCUCAGAAGAUAUCAAAGUUUGGCCAGUGUAUUCAAUAUGCUUUCAGUCAUGAGGGAAUCUAGUUGAUAAGGUAUUUUUAAAGUUUAUUUCGCUCAUGGAAAAAAAAAAACUAUGAAAUUAAGGCCCGUGCUGUGAAGUCAACCUUUCUGUUAAAAAAAAAGGUAUGAUUUUUUUCAUACCUGAGUUCAAAUAUGAUUUCAAACCUAAGUUCAAAUCCUAUUUUUGAGCUUCUGUUUUGUCGUUAAUCAACUAAAGCUCAAAUAUUUCCUACAUGUCUUAAAUUUGGAUUAGUCUCUAUAUCGAAAUACAUACAUUGAACAAAUAUUCACUAGUCCUUUACAAUGAUGAUCAAUUAGUUUAGUUCAUGGAUAUAAUGGGUAUAUUGACAAAGGCUCAAAUUGUAUUUAAAUGGUAACUCUUCUGUUAGAUGAGCGAAUUUAACUUUUUAUUCUUAUUUUUAAAUAAAUCCGUCUUUUCUUUUGCGGUUGUUUUCAAAUUUGUCUUAUGGUGAUUCUUAGGUUUGUAAAAUUUAUAUUCUCUUUCACCAGCUUAAAUGGAAACCGUGAAGCUUACUCCUAUUUGCUGAAUUACGUCUGUACACUAAAACAGAGAAAAUAAAGAUUUGUGUGUGUAGGACAUGGAAAUCAAACAUUUCUGCAAGUGAUAAAAAACAUGUGACAUUCCACUGUAUCUUAGUUGAUGAAACAGUACGUGAUCAUUGUCUUAUAAUUUUAAUUAAGAAUUUUAACAUCAAUAUUUAUGUCAUUGGUUUUCUUUUCGUUUAUUUAUUUGUUGAUUUAUAUUUAUGUUUUUAUGGUUUUCUUUUCUGUUUCAUUCUUAUGUGUUUAUAAAUUGUUUUAUAAAUGUUUUUUUUUUCUGAUGAUUUACAUAUUUUAAAUGAAUCUAUUUACUGAUUCUAUCAUUAUUAAUUUUGCUCUCUUUGUUUUCCUGGAUAUAACCAAUUGUGAAGAACAAUGCGGUUAAAGCUUAUGCGUCAGAUAUUGAUUAUGAAGUUGUUGCCUUAAAGAUUCAGCUUCUCGACGUGUAAAAGUCCUGUACAAUUGCUACCACCUUCUUCAAGACAAGUGAAUGAAGCUGAAGUUUUACGUACUGCACGAAGAGUGACAAUAGAUUAGCUAGCUUUUUUAGAUCCUGAUCUAUAUAAGCUAUUAAGCCAAUAACUCCGCAAGUGUUUGGAAGAGAAAGCACAUUAUCCUCCAAGACUGUAUCAUCUUCGACCUCACCACCUCAAACAAGUGAUCAAUCACAUAAACGAAAGAGAGAAUCCGUCAGAAGAGCCCUUUUUACUGGCACUGAACAAAGUUGUUAGAAGCUGCAAGCUUUAACUUGAUUCAUUGUACCUAUCAAGGUAAAGUACCCGACUCCAGUGGACAAUAUAUUAAAUCUUUGGUAUGUAACUAUUGUGUACAUGUACAUCAAGUAUUAUCCUUUAUAUGUAAAUACAAUUAUUUACUAAAUUUUUUGUAUGUAAAUAGUACUGCAUACAAAAUUUUCGUACAACUUUCAAUCCUGCAUCAACUAUAGAAAUUUCAGCAAUAAACUCCUACCCUCUUCUCUCAAUCAUCUCUCAACUAUGUCUCUCUCACCCCUCAGGUACGUGUUGUUGGAUUCCGUUUGUUGUCUAAAAUUUUUAAUUUUUUUAUUUGAGUUUGCUGGAUUUCUUAAUUUUUAAUUUGGUUGGUGAAUUUUCUUUGCCGUUUAUUCUGUUUUUGUUAUUAUUUUUAAUUAUGGAUCCAAACCAGUAGAGAUCAAGUGUUCCACAUAAUCGCCCUUAGCAAGCACCUCAAGAUAGUUGUGGCAACAAUUCCUCAACCAUUUUCUUUAUCCUCUUUGCUUUCCUCGCCAUUUUAGUUGUGGUAACCCAUCUCAUACUUUAAACUUUGCUCUCCAACUCGGAACUACUGCUAGAUUUUCUUUUUCACUGCUAAUUUGCUUUAUAUUUCUUCGACAUUCUUUAUUUCAUCACAUUUUAUCUUCUAGCUUAAUCCAUCACUUGUUAUGCAAUACUAACUCAAUUGUUCAUCAAUUUGUUUCACUUUUAGGUUUUAUUAUGGUUAAGUAAUUCCUCUAUUUUGAGUAUCAUGUAUCUGUUCUUAAUUUUCAAUGAAUCCAUAUAUUUGUGUUAAAAGUAUUAAUUUCGGUUUUUUACAGUAACUUUGAUUAGUAUGCUAAAUUCUUAAAACUAGGAUGUCUUAAUGUUUACAGACAGUUCUUCCAACAUCAUCAACUAUAUCAAUUAUGCACCAAGUCCCAUAACAUCAUGUUGGGGUAUAUUGAAAAGGAGGCGCUCUUCUGAAAACAAUUACAGAUCCAAGCGAUUUGCAUUGAGAAGUUGCUUGCAUAUGACCUUAACUUUGUGUGCUCCUCAUUAUUUCAAAUUUCAGGUUUUCAUCUCAACCUGCCUCUGGCCACGCAUUUUUAACCCAUGCAAGUGAUCCUACAGAUUAUUCAGAUAACUUUCGUAAUCCAUGUUCGGAAGAUUGAUGAUUCUUUUUCCAUUUGUUAUAGUUUUGAAAGCUUCUAUUAGCAACAUUAUAGGUAACAAAUAUUCCAAAAUAUUUAUUCAUUUAGCAGCCAUUUGAUAACCAUUUGCUUUUUAGUUUCAA